UACAGAGGUCUCAAGCGUUGUUCGGAUUCAUUGGGCGUAAAGGGCGCGUAGGCGGCCACCGCAAGUCAGUUGUGAAAUCUCUGGGCUUAACCCAGAAAGGUCAACUGAUACUGCGGGGCUAGAGUGCAGAAGGGGCAACUGGAAUUCUCGGUGUAGCGGUGGAAUGCGCAGAUAUCAGGAGGAACACCAAUAGCGAAGGCAGCUCGCUGGGACGUGACUGACACUAAGGCGCGAAAAGCGUGGGGAGCGAACAGG
rnacentral:rRNA from 1 species